UUCCACAGUGUAACCUUUGGUAAAGUGAAUGAGCUGUCAUCGAAGUGAUUUGAAGCAAAGUUUCAUUCCUAGCACAAAAAUUAUUUUAGUCUGAUGAGCCAAGAUGGAGGGUUGCCAGAACACAUCACUUUUCCCCCCAUUUACCUCUGCCAACAUUGAUUUGUGUUGGUUACUGGGACAUAAAUUUCUAAGGCAGGAUCUCACAUUCUGGAAGCCAUAGAACAACAACGGUGAAGCCAUGCAUUAUUCAUAAGUAUUUCGGGAGAAUCAUCAUGCAAAGAGGAAAGCACAGAUGAAGAUGAUGCUUCCACAAGCCAAGGACACCAAAGACUUUCAGAAACCUGU